UCCAGAAAAUGCUCUGCUUCCACAGC
rnacentral:piRNA from 1 species